CGGCAGGCCUAACACAUGCAAGUCGAGCGAGACCUUCGGGUCUAGCGGCGGACGGGUUAGUAACGCGUGGGAACGUGCCCUUUACUACGGAAUAGUCCCGGGAAACUGGGUUUAAUACCGUAUACGCCCUUCGGGGGAAAGAUUUAUCGGUAAAGGAUCGGCCCGCGUUAGAUUAGAUAGUUGGUGGGGUAAUGGCCUACCAAGUCUACGAUCUAUAGCUGGUUUGAGAGGAUGAUCAGCAACACUGGGACUGAGACACGGCCCAGACUCCUACGGGAGGCAGCAGUGGGGAAUCUUAGACAAUGGGCGCAAGCCUGAUCUAGCCAUGCCGCGUGAGUGACGAUGGCCUUAGGGUCGUAAAGCUCUUUCGCCAGGGAUGAUAAUGACAGUACCUGGUAAAGAAACCCCGGCUAACUCCGUGCCAGCAGCCGCGGUAAUACGGAGGGGGUUAGCGUUGUUCGGAAUUACUGGGCGUAAAGCGCACGUAGGCCGGACUGGAAAGUUGGGGGUGAAAU
rnacentral:rRNA from 1 species